rnacentral:misc_RNA from 1 species
AAGUCGUAACAAGGUUUCCGUAGGUGAACCUGCGGAAGGAUCAUUACAAAUCCAUCCACGUCUCAUUCUUGAGACCACGUUGAAAUGUUCCCUAGCGUCCCGCGAUCGCUGCGCGCAAGUGCAGCCUUGGUGACGGCGCUAGGCUUGUAAACUAGUAUCCUCUGUUGCUCAAAUGUAUCUUUCUUGAUUGUAAUGAUCAAGGCAAACAAAGUACAACUUAUAACAAUGGAUCUCUAGGCUCUU